rnacentral:tRNA from 1 species
AGCUGGGAUAGCUCACUCAGUAGAUCACGAGGCUCUUAAUCUCAGGGUUGCGGGUUCAAGUCCCACCUUGGGUA